rnacentral:rRNA from 1 species
GACGAACGCUGGCGGCAGGCCUAACACAUGCAAGUCGAACGUGAAGCUGGAGCUUGCUCCAGUGGAAAGUGGCAGACGGGUGAGUAACGCGUGGGAAUUUACCCAGUGGUAUGGGAUAACUUCGGGAAACCGGAGCUAAUACCGUAUACGCCCUUCGGGGGAAAGAUUUAUCGCCAUUGGAUGAGCCCGCGUCGGAUUAGCUAGUUGGUGAGGUAAUGGCUCACCAAGGCGACGAUCCGUAGCUGGUCUGAGAGGAUGAUCAGCCACACUGGGACUGAGACACGGCCCAGACUCCUACGGGAGGCAGCAGUGGGGAAUAUUGGACAAUGGGGGAAACCCUGAUCCAGCCAUGCCGCGUGAGUGAAGAAGGCCCUAGGGUUGUAAAGCUCUUUCAGUCGUGAAGAUAAUGACGGUAACGACAGAAGAAGCCCCGGCUAACUCCGUG